rnacentral:rRNA from 1 species
GCUGGCGGCGUGCCUAACACAUGCAAGUCGAGCGAGAAAAGGGUAGCAAUACCUGAGUACAGCGGCGCACGGGUGAGUAACACGUGGGUAAUCUGCCCUGGAGUGGGGAAUAACACCGGGAAACCGGUGCUAAUACCGCAUACGAUCACGAUGUCUGCGGAUGUUGUGAUGAAAGGAGCAAUUCGCUCCAGGAGGAGCCCGCGGCUGAUUAGCUAGUUGGUGAGGUAAUGGCUCACCAAGGCUACGAUCAGUAUCCGGUCUGAGAGGACGGUCGGACACACUGGAACUGAGACACGGUCCAGACUCCUACGGGAGGCAGCAGUGGGGAAUUUUUGGCAAUGGGGGAAACCCUGACCAAGCAACGCCGCGUGGGUGAUGAAGUCUCUUGGGACGUAAAACCCUUUCGACGGGGAAGAAACCGCAAGGUUGACGGUACCCGUA